AUCCGACCUCAGAUCGGACGAGAUUACCCGCUGAAUUUAAGCAUAUUACUAAGCGGAGGAAAAGAAACUAACAAGGAUUUCCCCAGUAACGGCGAGUGAAGCGGGAAAAGCCCAGCACCGAAUCCCCCAGUGUCACGCUGGCGGGAACUGUGGUGUGUGGGACGCCACCAGUCGCGCCGGAGGGUGCCGAAGUCCUCCUGAUCGGGGCUUCACCCAGAGCGGGUGUAAGGCCUUUGCUGGCACCUCUCCGCGCGGCCGCGAGCGUCUCAGGUUCCGGUUGUUUGGGAAUGCAGCCCAAAGCGGGUGGGUAAACUCACU
rnacentral:rRNA from 1 species